GAUGAACGCUGGCGGCGUGCCUAAUACAUGCAAGUCGAGCGAACAGACGAGGAGCUUGCUCCUCUGACGUUAGCGGCGGACGGGUGAGUAACACGUGGAUAACCUACCUAUAAGACUGGGAUAACUUCGGGAAACCGGAGCCAAUACCGGAUAACAUGUUGAACCGCAUGGUUCAACAGUGAAAGACGGUCUUGCUGUCACUUAUAGAUGGAUCCGCGCCGCAUUAGCUAGUUGGUAAGGUAACGGCUUACCAAGGCAACGAUGCGUAGCCGACCUGAGAGGGUGAUCGGCCACACUGGAACUGAGACACGGUCCAGACUCCUACGGGAGGCAGCAGUAGGGAAUCUUCCGCAAUGGGCGAAAGCCUGACGGAGCAACGCCGCGUGAGUGAAGAAGGUCUUCGGAUCGUAAAACUCUGUUAUUAGGGAAGAACAAAUGUGUAAGUAACUAUGCACGUCUUGACGGUACCUAAUCAGAAAGCCACGGCUAACUACGUG
rnacentral:rRNA from 1 species